UCUGUAGGGACAAGAAUAGAACUGAUCUGAACAGAAGCUACCACCAAUGUUUCCCAGCUGCUGCAGCUGCCUUGUGCAAAGCAUGCUGUGUUCUUUAUGCCUGAGGGCACCUGAUGCUUCUGAGACCAGGGCAUGCAUGACUGCUGAUGUAUACAUGCUGACUCCCUGGGAUUUUCUCUCUUGGUUAGCAGCCAAGGUUGAGGAAGUUGAGGACGGAGAGAUGGAUGACCUUAGCAGUUCUCUACUCUCUUCUGAUAGACUUCAGGAUGCCUUUCCAAGCUCGAAGGCAGCUGGUGUCUAGCUGAACUCUUGAGUUUGGAACCAGUUACAUCAGCAAUACUCCUGGCCAUGGAUAUACAAGAAUGAACUCUUCUUAAUUAAUGGAAGCCUGUGAAUGAUCAGAUUUGCAGCUGCCUUGGACAAAUCAGAUGCUCUGCACACAUAUUACAGAUUCCAGUGACGUGUUUUUAUGGAAUUCCCGAUUGUGCAAAUGAAUGAAAACAUAAAGUAUUUGGCAGUGAAAACUUAAGGAGUGUCUGUCAGUCAUCUUGUCACAGUGAUGGAAACACAUUUCAAAGGGACACCCACCACUGUUUUACAUGAAUGCUCAUUUGUCACACUGAAGUUAAACAUUUACCUGGUUGAAACCUCUAGUGACCAAUGUAAAUCCCAGAGCCACCAACUGCUUGGGACCUUUUCUUGGUCGCAGCCAUAAAACUGCAGUUUUCUAGGACUCUCUCCAGAAGUCCCGUCUGCAGGGAAAUGACUAAACUCCUUGUGCAAACUUCGUGGUUCCUAGUUCCGCCUUGUCAGACUAAUUCUAUCCAAGACAUCUCCGGAGCCAUCUUGUGUUUCUUUCUUAUAGAGACGGGUGGAGAGAGGGCUUCCUAGAAACCUCUUGAGAUGUAACAUGAGAGUCACCAAAAUGGCUUCUAUGAAUACUACCCUCUCAGGAGAAGAGCCUGUGUCCACACUCGAGUCCGUGUUAUUUUCUUCUGCUCUCCUCCAAGAAACACACACUGCCACUUGGAUGGGUCUUUCUCUCGGCACCGAAGCCUAUAUUAAAAUCUCCUCAAUUACAUUU